GGUUCGGAACAACACAGGGAAACUUGUGCUAAUACCGAAUGUGCCCUUCGGGGGAAAGAUUUAUCGCCAUUGGAGCGGCCCGCGUUGGAUUAGCUAGUUGGUGGGGUAAAGGCCCACCAAGGCGACGAUCCAUAGCUGGUCUGAGAGGAUGAUCAGCCACACUGGGACUGAGACACGGCCCAGACUCCUACGGGAGGCAGCAGUAGGGAAUCUUGCGCAAUGGGCGAAAGCCUGACGCAGCCAUGCCGCGUGAAUGAUGAAGGUCUUAGGAUUGUAAAAUUCUUUCACCGGGGAAGAUAAUGACGGUACCCGGAGAAGAAGCCCCGGCUAACUUCGUGCCAGCAGCCGCGGUAAUACGAAGGGGGCUAGCGUUGCUCGGAAUUACUGGGCGUAAAGGGCGCGUAGGCGGACAGUUUAGUCAGAGGUGAAAGCCCAGGGCUCAACCUUGGAACUGCCUUUGAUACUGGCUGUCUUGAGUUCGGGAGAGGUGAGUGGAAUGCCGAGUGUAGAGGUGAAAUUCGUAGAUAUUCGGCGGAACACCAGUGGCGAAGGCGACUCACUGG
rnacentral:rRNA from 1 species